AUUGAACGCUGGCGGCAGGCCUAACACAUGCAAGUCGAACGAGUGGCGGACGGGUGAGUAAUGUCUGGGACACUGCCUGAUGGAGGGGGAUAACUACUGGAAAAGGUAGCUAAUACCGCAUACCAUACGCUGUGCCCAGAUGGGAUUAGCUUGUUGGUGGGGUAACGGCUCACCAAGGCGACGAUCCCUAGCUGGUCUGAGAGGAUGACCAGCCACACUGGAACUUAGGCACUGUCCAGACUCCUACGGGAGUCAGCAGUGGGGAAUAGUGCACAAUGGGCGCAAGCCUGAUGCAGCCAUGCCGCGUGUCUGAAGAAGGCCUUCGGGUUGUAAAGUACUUUCAGCGUGGAGGCGUUACCCGCAUAAGAAGCACCGGCUAACUCCGUGCCAGCAGCCGCGGUAAUAC
rnacentral:rRNA from 1 species